rnacentral:rRNA from 1 species
AGGCAGCCUACAAGUCCUUUACUGACGCUAAAGCUCGAAGGUGCGGGUAUCGAACAGGAUUAGAUACCCUGGUAGUCCGCACGGUAAACGAUGGAUGCCCGCUGUUUGCGAUAUACUGUGAGCGGCCAAGCGAAAGCGUUAAGCAUCCCACCUGGGGAGUACGCCGGCAACGGUGAAACUCAAAGGAAUUGACGGGGGCCCGCACAAGCGGAGGAACAUGUGGUUUAAUUCGAUGAUACGCGAGGAACCUUACCCGGGCUUGAACUGCAGCAGAACGAUUGAGAGAUCAUGAGGUCCUUCGGGACUGCUGUGGAGGUGCUGCAUGGUUGUCGUCAGCUCGUGCCGUGAGGUGUCGGCUUAAGUGCCAUAACGAGCGCAACCCCUCUCUUCAGUUGCCAUCAGGUAGAGCUGGGCACUCUGGAGACACUGCCACCGUAAGGUGUGAGGAAGGUGGGGAUGACGUCAAAUCAGCACGGCCCUUACGUCCGGGGCUACACACGUUUGACAGGGGGUGGGACAAAGGGUCGGCAACCUGCAAAGUCCGUCCAAUCGCAAAAUCCAUCCUCAGUUCAGACAGGGGUGUGCAACCCGACCCCACGA